rnacentral:rRNA from 1 species
AUUGAACGCUGGCGGUAUGCUUAACACAUGCAAGUCGAACGGUAGCAGGCCUUCGGGCGCUGACGAGUGGCGGACGGGUGAGUAAUGCAUAGGAAUCUGCCUAUUAGUGGGGGACAACGUGGGGAAACUCACGCUAAUACCGCAUACGCCCUACGGGGAAAGCGGGGCUCUUCGGACCUCGCGCUAACAGAUGAGCCUGCGUGGGAUUAGCUAGUUGGUAGGGUAAAGGCCUACCAAGGCGACGAUCCCUAGCUGGUCUGAGAGGACGAUCAGCCACACUGGGACUGAGACACGGCCCAGACUCCUACGGGAGGCUG